rnacentral:rRNA from 1 species
UCAUAAGCGGGAGGAAAAGANAACCAACAGGGAUUGCUCUAGUAACGGCGAGUGAAGCAGCAAUAGCUCAAAUUUGAAAUCUGGCGUCUUCGACGUCCGAGUUGUAAUUUGUAGAGGAUGCUUCUGAGUAACCACCGACCUAAGUUCCUUGGAACAGGACGUCAUAGAGGGUGAGAAUCCCGUAUGCGGUCGGAAAGGUGCUCUAUACGUAGCUCCUUCGACGAGUCGAGUUGUUUGGGAAUGCAGCUCUAAAUGGGAGGUAAAUUUCUUCUAAAGCUAAAUAUUGGCCAGAGACCGAUAGCGCACAAGUAGAGUGAUCGAAAGAUGAAAAGCACUUUGGAAAGAGAGUUAAAAAGCACGUGAAAUUGUUAAAAGGGAAGGGAUUGCAACCAGACUUGCUCGCGGUGUUCCGCCGGUCUUCUGACCGGUCUACUCGCCGCGUUGCAGGCCAGCAUCGUCUGGUGCCGCUGGAUAAGACUUGAGGAAUGUAGCUCCCUCGGGAGUGUUAUAGCCUCUUGUGAUGCAGCGAGCGCCGGGCGAGGUCCGCGCUUCGGCUAGGAUGCUGGCGUAAUGGUCGUAAUCCGCCCGUCUUGAAACACGGACCAAGGAGUCUAACAUCUAUGCGAGUGUUCGGGUGUCAAACCCCUACGCGUAAUGAAAGUGAACGGAGGUGAGAACCGCAAGGUGCAUCAUCGACCGAUCCUGAUGUCUUCGGAUGGAUUUGAGUAAGAGCAUAGCUGUUGGGACCCGAAAGAUGGUGAACUAUGCCUGAAUAGGGUGAAGCCAGAGGAAACUCUGGUGGAGGCUCGCAGCGGUUCUGACGUGCAAAUCGAUCGUCAAAUUUGGGUAUAGGGGCGAAAGACUAAUCGAACCAU